GUGGGUGGGCAGUUCUGGUGAAUGUCCGUACUCGCCCCGCUAUUGGCUGGCCUAGCUGUCACUCACGUGCGCUGUGGCUUCACCGGCUCCUGUCGGUUUCCUUAGCAACCAACCCCCCCUAUCUCUUGACAAGCUGCCGGCUACUGGCGCUCUGAUUGGCUCCGACACAUGAACGGCUCCGCCCACAAUGCAUUUCCCGUUUUCCUAUUGGUUGGUAAGACUGACUGCUCGCUGGCUGGUUGGAUGGAGGCGGGGGGUGU